rnacentral:rRNA from 1 species
GAUGAACGCUGGCGGCGUGCCUAAUACAUGCAAGUCGAGCGAACAGACGAGGAGCUUGCUCCUCUGACGUUAGCGGCGGACGGGUGAGUAACACGUGGAUAACCUACCUAUAAGACUGGGAUAACUUCGGGAAACCGGAGCUAAUACCGGAUAAUAUAUUGAACCGCAUGGUUCAAUAGUGAAAGACGGUUUUGCUGUCACUUAUAGAUGGAUCCGCGCCGCAUUAGCUAGUUGGUAAGGUAACGGCUUACCAAGGCAACGCUGCGUAGCCGACCUGAGAGGGGGAUCAGCCACACUGGAACUGAGACACGGGCCAGACUCCUACGGGAGGCAGCAGUAGGGAAUCUUCCGCAAUGGGCGAAAGCCUGACGGAGCAACGCCGCGUGAGUGAUGAAGGGCUUCGGAUCGUAAAACGCUGUUAUGAGGGAAGAACAAAUGUGUAAGUAACGAUGCACGUCUUGACGGUACCUAAUCAGAAAGCCACGGCUAACUACGU